rnacentral:misc_RNA from 1 species
GAUGAAGAACGCAGCGAAAUGCGAUAAGUAAUGUGAAUUGCAGAAUUCAGUGAAUCAUCGAAUCUUUGAACGCACAUUGCGCCCCCUGGUAUUCCGGGGGGCAUGCCUGUUCGAGCGUCAUUUCACCACUCAAGCCUCGCUUGGUAUUGGGCAACGCGGUCCGCCGCGUGCCUCAAAUCGACCGGCUGGGUCUUCUGUCCCCUAAGCGUUGUGGAAACUAUUCGCUAAAGGGUGUUCGGGAGGCUACGCCGUAAAACAACCCCAUUUCUAAGGUUGACCUCGAAUCAGGUAGGAAUACCCGCUGAACUUAAGCAUAUCAAUAAGCGGAGGA